GCCAGAGCUGACAUGAAGUAGAACAGAGAUGAGCUGAGCUUUGCCCCACCUGCAGAUGUAUAUAAAGAAAUUGACACAACUAAUUAGAAGCCGGGUCCAAGAUUUUCAUUUAUAAAGUCUACUUCCAGCACUCACUCUUUGACCCCCUAUACUUCAUACUCCAGAGUGACUCCAAACAAAGACUAUGGAACUUCCCACAUACACCCCUUUUGGCUGAGCUGUAUGGCCAUAAGCGUAGAGACUUGCAGCUGUAUGUGGCCGUGAAUGAGAGACCCAGAGAUGGAAGCUUCACAGCAUUUGUGGCAGUAGCGGCAGAAAUGCAUCACACAUUUGAGUCCCUAGAUGGCCUUGUGGAGAAACGUCUACCUGCCACCCUGGACUAUUAGAAAUAUUCUUCAAACAAAACCUUAUGAGGAACAGAACCAUAGCUCCUGAAACUGUGUGAAAGCAAGAGAAAGAGAGUCUUUUGUCAAUAGUCUGUCCACACAUAUCCAGACCCAACCCAAAGUUACAACCUGACCUCCACGAUCACUUUCCCUCACAGGGACCGCACUAUGAGGAACACGCCAAAGUUGAGAAAGGGUAAGAUUCUUGCCCAACCUCAAGACCAGUGCUAUUCUCUUCACGCCAAGGCAGGAAGAUCACUGAAGCCCAGAAGUUCGAGGCUAAAAUGAGCUAUGAUUGUGCCAACGCACUUCA
rnacentral:lncRNA from 1 species